UUGGGGAAAAGAAAGGGAAGAAGGAGAAGAGACAGGAAAAAGAAAUUCCAAGAGCCACCGCGGAAAGUGGAGAGUAUGAACGCGCAAAGCAUAAAAUGAAGUCGUAGCCGCAUACACUUGACUUCUCUUGACAUGUGAAAAGUGCUAAAAGUCAAAGCUCAUCAAUAAAGUAUCUUGAAAUUGAAUAAGAGCCCUGACAACCAUUGCAUUCUUAAAUAAAGUACAAUGAGGAGACAAACGACUCUGCCAAGGAGUUUGCAUGUGAGUGAAAGGGCGCCUCAAUGGGAGCGGGAUAAUGGGCUGCUCGGCCGUCAUGCACUGUCAUCCCCUGUCCCGCCGAGAAGCUGCCACCGCUCCCUAAUAGCACAAAAUGGGCUCUUAAGAGACUGCAGCCUGUCCCUCCGCCGCUCCCUUCCCUACCCUUCCCCCGACGCCGGGCUGCAGCGGUGACCACCCCGCUCCGGGCCCGCUGGGGAGGCCCGGGAGGCAGAGGCUGGGGUGGGCAGCCUCCCCCCGGCCCUUUCUCCAAGCCGGGAACGGCCCAAGCAAAGCCCUUUCCUUGGCAGGAUGCGGAGAAGGGAGAGCGGCCCGGGAUGCAGCCGAGCCCACCUGCAGCAGCGAGGGGCUCCGCCGCCUUGGGCAGGCCUAGGUCAGCCUGCCCGGCUUGUUUUGCUGCCACUUUUGUCCCGAGUCACGCGUUUUUUAUAGGAAUGGAGCCGAAUAUCGCGAUGGACGCACGGGAGCGUUUGGGUGUGAUGGGAUCCCCCCGUGAAGGUAAGGGCAGCCCGGCCUUGGGGCUGCGGGACACCCCAAGGGGGGCUCUGCCAACACCAGGGGCUCGGGCUCGGACCUCCCUCACCCUGCUGCCCCCUGCUCCCCUGGCUCAGCUCCUCUCCUUUCCCCCAAAACUUUCCAAAGUACCACCUGCCGCCGAGUUAACCUGCCCGCGGCCACACAUCCUUCCCGGGGCGCCGAGAAAAAAUUUCACAGCGGCGAAAGAGAAGAGAAACCAUGUCCAAAACCAAGUCCGAACCUGUGUGCCGUGUCCCUGCCCUCCGGGCCGGGGCGUUAAAGGGGGAAAAGAGAAAAACCACUUUGUCCGAAAUUGCAGGCAAAUAUCAUUUUUACAAGCUCUCAAUUAGCCAUCCCUUGGAUUAGCACCUUCUUACGCCUCCUCGCCAGAAUAAAGCAGCCG
rnacentral:lncRNA from 1 species